UACGUGUUCCUGUGAGUCUAUCAUAUUCUGAAGCAUUGAAUUGAAGCAUGCAACUGACUGAGGCAUCUUUGUGAACACUAUCAGAGCUUCAAUAAAAACAUAAAAGGUGACAUUCAGCCUGGCCUAUCUCACUGUUAUGAAGCUCAGUGUUUUGUGGGAGGGGACAGAAGGGGGCCCUCACCCAUUGAGUAUUCGUCCAGCCCUUGGUGCUAUCUCAGUCCAUGGCCUGUCCGCUCCUCCCUGUAGCUCUGCUCGCCUGUUCCAGCCGUUACAGUGUGGGGAGGGCGUGAUAAGGUUAUCAGACAGUCUGCACCGCCCGGCUUACUCUGAAAGAGCAUGCUGCCCUCAGAUUUCACCCCCCUUGCUCCCACUCACUCUGAGUAUAUCCCCUAUCAUGUCAUCCCUUCUCUCAACUUCAGCACCUCCAACAUGUGGACCCGCAGCUGGCGUCAUAAAGGCUGUUUGGCCAUAUUCAGACGUGUGUUGAAGACAUUAGGCCACACCUACAAAGUUAGUCAUUUUCUGUAUGCAAAGCAGAAGAUCAUCAUCUGUGAUUGCUUUGGCAGCACUUUUUUAAUGUAUUCAACAAGUCUGAUGUGAAGGUUUGCCCACGACUGUCAAAAGCCGCACACGCAUUACAUUUUUAAUUACAAAGUCCAGUAGUUCCCAACAUUUUUUUGCCUGUGACCCUGAAACAAAACAACUUGUGACCCACAUCACUGGCUGAAUAUUCUUGCUCCGUGACCUAGAUCAUCAAAGAGUUUUGUUUCCCUGUUUUAUUUGAGUAAUUCUUAGAGGCCCGAAGAUGAAAAACUAUACAGUAAUUUGUAAGUUAAUAAAACUAAAAGUCUGCCUGUAUCAUUUGGUUGCCUGUCAAUCAUGGAUGUAUUAAGGGAGAACUGGAUACAGCAUUGGAGGCGGAGCUCUGUUCAUUCCUGUAGAAGUUGUUCAUAAAGCCAAAAAAGUUCAACAAAUUACCUGGAUCUUCUGCAUCGUGUGGCCCAUAGAGCCGGGCCAGCUAACUAACUUGACUGGGGACCAAAUGAUUGGACCAAAUUGAUCCAAUUCUGAUCGAAUCAUUUCUCAGCUAGUUACCAUUUUUCUGCAUUCCUAUUCUGUUUAUCAUCGCACAAAACUACCCACUGGAGGGGACCCUAUAGGUUUUGAAUUAGACUCUCUGCUUAUAAUGAUGCUGCCUUAAUAUUUUCCUGGGAAGUGUAUUAAAGUGAAAGAAUUCAGGUUUAUGUUAUUAAGGAAAAACCCUUUAAAUAAGUUAAAACGUCUAUUAUUAUUAAUUAUUGAGAAAUAUUAAGUAAUUCUUUUGAAAAUGUUAUGGCAUUUUCUGUUUGGUUUUAUCAAGGAAGCACAGGCACAGAAAGCAGGGGAUGGCAUGUGGUUCCUUGGAUACCACUCACCACAUGGCUUACAUCCAAGACCACUGGGCCAACUAGUAUCAGCAUUUACCACUGACAUAUUUGAUUGGCACGCCAGACAGGCGCGUGGAUAAAUGAAUCUACUGCAAGAAAAUAGAAUGUAUUUUGUGAGGAAUGAAGGUAAAAGCAACCCUCUACUGAAAAGGAUUCCUGAGGCUGCCACUGAGGGAUGUUCAUGAGCAUCUUCAGAGUUGUAGUUUUCUGUUUCCUGUUCAGGCUCUUUGUACAAUGAUAACAGGCUGGAUGUAACUUGAAGGCACCGGGUUGUGUUGCCUACUUGUAAAAUAGAUUAAAUCCCAGAAGAAGCAACCACAGGAAAUGUUGGUCUUUUUUUUUUUCUUCUCCACAUCACUCUGGUAUGACACUUUGUGGGCGUGGCCUCUUGGACGCUUCAUUGCUGUACUUUAUCUAUGGGAGGGCAGGACGCACUGGACCACAACACAGUGUCACUGGCAAUCAAACAAUAUCACACCCCGACACUGUGUGACAGCAGCGGAUGUGAUCAUACAGUAUCUUCCUGUGUCCAGUCAUACAGAGGAAAUCUGCUGACAGUUUAUUUUCUGUCGGUCUAAAAACAAAGUGAUCACUGGAUACAGCGGCUGCUGGCAGCGGGUGUAACUGUAAUGGAGGAUGACAACUGACCCUGUUGCCCUGGUAAUAUCAACACAUUUUGCAUAAAGACCUCAGAUUUGUUUGCCAGACAGUAAGGCUUCAUGUGUCCUCUCUCCCCCUGCAUAGACACUGAUUUCUGUAGCAGUGACACAACAUAGGUAAAUAAUACACAUUUUUGGAGGAAUUAUGAUUGCAUCUUUUAAUUUCUACAAGCUCUAGUAAUUUUUAGACCCAGUUUAGGAUCCAUUAAGCUGAAAAAGGUGUUGUUAGCGUGAUGUCACAUCAGUAGUUGGCCUAACCUAUCUUUUUAAAAAUUCUGACAUUCAGUUUUUUGUGACCGUCAUUUUGUUUUUGUCAGAUUUCAAAGGCCCAGGUGAUGAUCUGAUUUGCCUCAAGCAGCUUAAUAUCCUAACAGGUUUGGUGUUUGAGGAAGGUGGUGUGUCUUCGUUAGAACCAACAUUUGUUUGUUGAAGUAAAUCCAACAAGCUGCCUGGGUGUGGUGACAGUUGACUAAGUAAUCAAUCCCUCAUCCACAGCCUCUUAUUAAUCCCAUUAGACUUAGUGUACCAUAAAGGCCAAGCAGGCUACCGCUGGAUGUAUGCAAAGGGUGUGUGGCCAAAAUUCAUAAUGGUCUAGCUAACAGUUUGUGCAAUUCAGAUUUUUACUGAGAUUAUAGAGCUGCUUUUGGCAUCUCAUGUAAUAAUGAGGAAGCAUCAGAGUGAAAUCAACUGAACGCCUGCUACAGUUCCUUCCUCUGCUUUCCACUCGACUCCCAGGAAUGAAUAGCUCACCGGCCUAAGAUUUGCAUGGCGAUGCAGGAGUGUCAUUUGAAUGCAGGAUUACUCCAUUACACACUAUCGCAAGGGAUUUUCACCCGAGGCUACAGUCACAUCUUUCUACAUCCUGCUCCGACAGGAAAGUUACUCAGAAAAACACACAGAAAGAGUAGAACGGGGAGAAAAGGGUGUAUUUACAGUGUGCUCAUCAUG